CUCACAACAAAGAAGUCCCUCCACACUCGUAUUAAAAAUUACAAAUGAAACCAAGGGGACAAUCUCCAAACACGUUCUCUCAGAAUGAAGUUCCAAUCAAUGUAUGCCAACUGCCAUAGGCUUGCCCUUAUUUUCAUUACCAAGGAUCUUAGAUAGACAAGCUAGGAUCACUAUAGGUCUUCUUCUUGUCUUGUAAUGUAGGUUAGGGCUGGUAUGGUAUUCAUGAGUAUUUAGAGUGACUAUGCCUCCUUGACACUACACUAACCUUUGGGGGUCCCACUUUUUAACCUUUUUUUAUUUUUCUCUUUUCUUGAUCACACAUAUUUAUGAUGGGUGUGGUCUUUUUUACAAUCAAUUUCUUUUUCACACUUUUCUUUUCUUAUUCUUUAUAACCACACCCAGCUUUUUAUUCUUUUCUUUUACUCUACCUUUCUUCAUACUCAUUCUAUACCAUGCACCCCUAAGAUAGCCACCCUCAACUUAGGCUAUUUGCCUAAGUCAAGGUGCACAGUGUCCAAGAAGGACCAAGGCCAAAAAAGGUUCAUUGUAAUAUAAAUGAGAAGGUGAGAGACGUCAUAACAAGAGAUAGGUAUUAAAGCUCAACACUAUGAUCAAGGGAUAUUAUGUAUACAGGGAAGGUCAUUUUAGGAUAAAAGUGGAUUAAUUUCAAAAACAACCUAUGAUCCUUUCCUAACCCCUAUCCUACAACCUAAGAAAUAAAAACUAGGCAAGUUAUGACUUCAAUAUACAAACAAAACUCAGUAGAACCUCACACACACAUGGCACACAGCCAUAUCGCAAGUUACUACAUAUCUAGUUCAUGCAGUUGUUUAGAAAUGAUCACUAUAUUGCUAGAACUAAUGCCACACUCAAGAUGCACAUUGGUCACAAAAGAUGCAAUUCACAUAGGUAUAUAAGCAAACCAUCAGAGAGGUGGACAAAAAAUCACAAAUCAUGAUAACUGCCUCAAGUACUUGUAUUACUCCUAGUUAUUUACAAAAAUUAUUACAACAACAACGCACCCUACACCCUCAACUUAAGAUCAAAGAAAAACUAAACUAAGGGUUAGGGUAUACCUGGAGUAGAUCAAGCACGAGGAUCAUGAGUUUCCUCCUAUGUAGCGCCUGACUUAACGUCGCCGCAUGACUUGGAUAUCUCGAUUACUUAGACUUCAUUGAGAUAUACACUAGCUAUAAUCUUUAUUUAGUCCGUUGGGCCAAGAUAUAGUUUUAGUCUAUACCCAUUCACCUUAAAGAUAUUCCCAUCUUCAUCUUCGAGUUCCACCACUCCAGAUAAGUAGACUUGGCUA
rnacentral:lncRNA from 1 species